AAAAAAAUUCAUUUCUUUCUCUCUUCUCUUCUUACUGCGAUUCGCGAGAAAACCUCUCCUUUCGUUCUCUUCUACAAUCCGCCAUGGGAAAAAUUAGUUCGUGGACUGACUUGGAUUCUGAAGAUGAGGUCUUGCGGAUGGAUUCAGAAACUACAUUGAAGCAAGAAGUAGCUUGGGCUACUCAUUUCUCCUUACAUGUGCUUGUUAAUCUAUGGAUUUAACUCACCUGGCAUGUCUUCUCCCCACUCUAGUUUAUCUAACUUUGCUGGUAAAUCCACAAUUGGAGGACAGAUUCUUUAUCUUAGCGGUCAGGUGGAUGACAACUUUAUGACAUCUCUUGCCUCCGUCAUAUAGCUCGACUUGUUUUUGAGCUUUGAAAUGGAUCUUGGGUGAUAUCUUCAUGGGACCAUAUCACACUGUGUUCGAUUACGGGAAAGCAGGAGUUGGAUUCGCCAAAACUGCUUAAACAUGAUCACUUCUUUAAUACCCUUUUUUAUAUGAUGUUUGUGAAUGUGUAUUUAGACAAAAUCUUAAAAUGGUUUGUAAUAACUUAAACAUAAUGCUAUCCUAGAAUGGUAUCAUCUUAAUACAGAUUUUUAUUUGGUUUCA